UGAUGAUGCUUGGACACAAAUAUUGGACCAUCUAGUCAUAUAUAAGUGAAAUACAUAUUUGAGUUUCAAGAUCAGCACUAGAAUUACAUACGCAUGCAUCGUACGGGCCCUCCUCCUUUGCCAUGUUUUUUUCUAAUUUUUCUAUCCAUAUUUUUCUAAGAUACUAAGUACUAGUACUAUUAUAAUGCAAACUCUUUUAGGACACAUUUGAUUCGAGGAAG
rnacentral:lncRNA from 1 species